rnacentral:rRNA from 1 species
UGCGUGGAAGGGCCAUCGCUCAACGGAUAAAAGCUACCCUGGGGAUAACAGGCUUAUCUCCCCCAAGAGUCCACAUCGACGGGGAGGUUUGGCACCUCGAUGUCGGCUCAUCACAUCCUGGGGCUGUAGUAGGUCCCAAGGGUUGGGCUGUUCGCCCAUUAAAGUGGUACGCGAGCUGGGUUCAGAACGUCGUGAGACAGUUCGGUCCCUAUCCGUCGCAGGCGUAGGAAAUUUGAGAAGACCUGUCCUUAGUACGAGAGGACCGGGAUGGACGUACCUCUGGUGUACCAGUUGUCCUGCCAAGGGCAUGGCUGGGUAGCUAUGUACGGAAUGGAUAAGCGCUGAAAGCAUCUAAGCGCGAAGCCAACUUCAAGAUAAGAUUUCCCACCGCAAGGGUAAGACCCCAGAAAGACUAUCUGGUUGAUAGGUCGAAGGGUUGGGCUGUUCGCCCAUUAAAGUGGUACGCGAGCUGGGUUCAGAACGUCGUGAGACAGUUCGGGCCCUAUCCGUCGCAGGCGUAGGAAAUUUGAGAAGACCUGUCCUUAGUACGAGAGGACCGGGAUGGACGUACCUCUGGUGUACCAGUUGUCCUGCCAAGGGCAUGGCUGGGUAGCUAUGUACGGAAUGGAUAAGCGCUGAAAGCAUCUAAGCGCGAAGCCAACUUCAAGAUAAGAUUUCCCACCGCAAGGGUAAGACCCCAGAAAGACUAUCUGGUUGAUAGGUCGAAGGUGUAAGUGCAGCAAUGUAUUUAGCUUAUCGAUACUAAUAGGUCGAGGACUUGACCAAU